rnacentral:rRNA from 1 species
GACGAACGCUGGCGGCGUGCCUAACACAUGCAAGUCGAACGAAGAAUGUUUUUCGGAAUAUUCUUAGUGGCGGACGGGUGAGUAACGCGUGAACAAUCUGCCCCGUACAAAGGGAUAGCCUCGGGAAACCGGGAUUAAAACCAUAUAACACUUAACUGCCGCAUGGUAGUGAAGUCAAAUCGAUUAAGAGGUAUGGGAUGAGUUCGCGUCUGAUUAGCUAGUUGGUGAGGUAAGGGCUCACCAAGGCGACGAUCAGUAGCCGGCCUGAGAGGGUGAACGGCCACACUGGAACUGAGACACGGUCCAGACUCCUACGGGAGGCAGCAGUGGGGAAUAUUGCACAAUGGAGGGAACUCUGAUGCAGCGACGCCGCGUGAGUGAAGAAGGUCUUCGGAUCGUAAAAACUCUGUCCUUGGUGAAGAAAAGGACGGUAGCCAAGGAGGAAGCCCCGGCUAACUACGUG